UGGGGAAUUUUCCGCAAUGGGCGCAAGCCUGACGGAGCAACGCCGCGUGGGUGAUGAAGUCUUUCGGGAUGUAAAGCCCUUUCAGUCGGGAAGAAGUCAGUGACGGUACCGACAGAAGAAGCAUCGGCUAACUACGUGCCAGCAGCCGCGGUAAGACGUAGGAUGCAAGCGUUGUCCGGAAUUAUUGGGCGUAAAGCGUACGUAGGCGGUCUUGUAAGUCAGAGGUUAAAGACAGCGGCUCAACCGCUGGAGUGCCUUUGAUACUGUGAGACUGGAGGUUGUCAGAGGAUGGCGGAAUUCCAAGUGUAGCGGUGAAAUGCGUAGAUAUUUGGAGGAACACCAGUGGCGAAAGCGGCCAUCUGGGGCACACCUGACGCUGAGGUACGAAAGCCAGGGGAGCAAACGGGAUUAGAUACCCCCGUAGUCC
rnacentral:rRNA from 1 species